CGGGGGGCAGCAGUGGGGAAUAUUGGACAAUGGGCGCAAGCCUGAUCCAGCCAUGCCGCGUGGAUGAUGAAGGCCCUAGGGUUGUAAAGUCCUUUUAACGGGGAAGAUAAUGACGGUACCCGUAGAAUAAGCCCCGGCUAACUUCGUGCCAGCAGCCGCGGUAAUACGAAGGGGGCUAGCGUUGCUCGGAAUUACUGGGCGUAAAGCGCACGUAGGCGGGUCGAUAAGUCGGGGGUGAAAUCCUGGAGCUCAACUCCAGAACUGCCUUCGAAACUGUCGAUCUUGAGUUCGGGAGAGGUGAGUGGAACUGCGAGUGUAGAGGUGAAAUUCGUAGAUAUUCGCAAGAACACCAGUGGCGAAGGCGGCUCACUGGCCCGAUACUGACGCUGAGGUGCGAAAGCGUGGGGAGCAAACAGGAUUAGAUACCCCGGU
rnacentral:rRNA from 1 species